AAAAAGCAAAAGCUAAACCCUAAUCCUUCAUCUCAGAUCUAUGGCCUCCAGGUUGAUCGCCCGCAGUGCCUCCCCCCUCUCCAAGGCCAUGGAGAAGAUCCUCCUCUCCGGCCGCGGAGGAGCGCCUGUCGCUUGCCGUUCCUUCAACAACUCCGCCGAGAUCCGCGACUACUCCGACGAUGAUCGGAGCCUUGAAGUUCACCGCCGCUCCGAUGACGCCCCCGCCUCCCGCCGCCGCCGCGCCGAGGACAUGCCGUCUUUCUUCUCAGGUAAGGCGUUUGAUCCGUUUUUUGGUCCGUCCCGUAGCCUGAGCCAGGUGCUGAACAUGAUGGAUCAGAUGACUGACGGCCCUCUCGUGGCUUCAAGGGUGCCAGUGUCCCCGCGUCGGAUUUGGGUUGCGAAAGAGGACAAUGACGCCCUGCACUUGAGGGUUGACAUGCCAGGGUUGGGGAAGGAGCAUGUUCGGGUGAGUGUGGAGCAGAACACUCUGGUUCUUAAGGGGGAGGGCGAUAAGGAGUCUGAUGACGAGGAAGGCGUUCGUCGCUACAGCAGCCGCAUUGAUCUGCCAUCGGAUCUGUACAAGAUGGACCAGAUCCGUGCUGAGAUGAAGAAUGGUGUGCUCAAGGUGGUGGUGCCCAAGGUCAAGGAGGAGGAGCGCAAGGAUGUGUUCCAGAUUUCGGUUGAGUGAUCGGUGCUUUUCCGUUCUGCUAUUCUUCUUUUGAAGAAUCUGGUGGUCAUGCUCUAACUUUUUCUCUUUAAAGAAUGAGGUGUUUUCCGUAAGUAUGUUAAGUCGAAAAGUAAGAAAGUGGUGUGUGUUGUCCGUAAGUAGUCGAGACAUUUAGUUGUAAUUUUGGUCGAAAUGAACUCUUAAUCUGGUUCAUGGAGUGGUG
rnacentral:misc_RNA from 1 species